rfam:Canis lupus familiaris chromosome 7, whole genome shotgun sequence.
GGGGGGAGGCCGGAUCCUGGGCUGUGUCCCGGCGCCCUGUGCUCCGGGGCCUGCGCUGUUGGAUUCGCGCUCCCGCCCCGCAGCCCCCU